CGUCACUAUAUUUUAGGCUAAUAUUAGAGAGAAAUAGCAUCGAACUGUUGCAUGAUGUUGCCAUGCAACGGUCAUAGCAUUUAUACAACAAGCGUAAUUCACAGGCCAUCCUCAAAGAUUGUUACAACAGCCAUUUACUAGCUUGUCCAUUUACAUUUUAAUGGCCAUUAACCAGAACCAUGCUCUCAUAUACGUUUUUAUGCUUUUUGUUUCACAAAUAAAAAUAUUAAAACAAUACACAGUCAAUUACUUUACAUAUCACACACACAAAAAACAAAAAAAUAAAAAAAUAAAAACUACCAACACAAACAUGCACCAUCACAAAAUUAUCACACCAGUUCAUACGUUACAACCCGGAAAAAGGAAAGAAAGAAACAACUAUGUUACUUUCUGGCUUCUGUCUCCGGGAUCAGAACCCCGGGCUGGUCCCUCUGCCUGAAGAGGGGGAUGCCGGUCCCAUACUGAGCCGACGGGGGUGGAUGCUGGUCCUGCACACGGCCGGCGUGCUUCGACGACGCCUCGACCGCUGCUCCCGCCGGAUGAGCACCGAGGACAAGGCCGGACACCAGGAGGAGGGCCAAGACGCAGGCAAUUCCGGUGGGGGCGGCGGCCAUCUUUCGGUGGGAAUGCAUGGAUCUGGGGGAAG
rnacentral:lncRNA from 1 species